GCAAGAUCCAGGAUUGUGUGAACAGAGCAUUGAGCACAGUACUCCUUGCCUGUAGCCACAUUGAUAUCUUCACUCUUUAGUAGAUGCUUGCUGAAUACCUGCUGCACGCCAAGUGUGCAGCCAGGCCCUGGGGUCCAGCAGGCCGUGAGAUGGAGACAGGCCCCAAUGGACAACCAAUGUGUGGUUCCGCCAAAGCUUUACUUAGCGACCAGUGAGUUCGACUGAAUGUGUGACCCUAUAAGAGUUACAACUCCGAGGGGAAAGUCUUCCAAAGUGGAAGUAUUGCAGCUCUGAAGGGAAAAGUGUCCUGGCAAUUGGGAGCCAAGGAAUACCACAUGGUCACACCAUACAACAAACCUCAUCCAAGAGAUUUAUUGGGAAAGACACAGAGGUGGCUGUCUCCACUUGGGUAAGAAGCAACAGAGAACUGAGUGGGAGACAGACUUAUAUUGGGUUUCUUGGGGGUGGAGUUUUCUAAGGUGGGAUUUCAAUUCUUGAGCUUGAGGUGAGCUCAGGGAUUGGUGGGAUUUCGAGCUCAGGAAUUGAUUGAUUUUCAAAACCUGGAAGUGAGCUCAGACUUUUUGCCCCACAGACCCCAAAGCAGCUUCACUAGGAAGUCCCACCCAGAAUGGGAUGAUGGCUUCUUAAUAGCUGUGUAGAUGGAGCUAUCUGUCUCCCGCUUUCCUCUAGUUAAUCUUCCCUAGCCUGUGCAUUCUAGCACCUCCAGGGGCUGUGUGCAAUUAGGGUAGAAUUGCAUCCAAAUGGCUGGGAGGCCUCUGGAAUCCUAGGUGAGGGUCCAGUGAAGCUCUGCACCCUUUCCUACUCUAAGG
rnacentral:lncRNA from 1 species